GCGCAGGGUCCAAACACGGGCCCGUGGUCCUUGACGGUGAGCCGCUCCAGCUUGGCCCUCAGAGCCUGCUCCUCCUCCGACACCAUGCGCUCUGCCAGUUCCAGGACCCCGAUGACCCCAAUGACCCCGACCCAGAGCGCUUGAACUCCGGUGACCGGAGUUUGUUGCUUGCCCGUUGGCUGGACGCCGCCGUGGUCCGUGGACAUCAAUAGGCCUCAGUGUUUGAUUAAUCUCCCUCGAGUCCAGAAGGAGAACGAAGGAGCAGGAAGGACCAGGGAGGAGCAGGAAGGAGCACGGAGGAGCACGAAGGAGGAGGAAGGAGCACGAAGGAGGAGGAAGGAGCAGGCGGCCAGCUGGUAAUCUACCUGAUCCCAAUAAAGCGAUUUGGGGAACAAAAUGAGAAACAAUGGCGUCUGUGUUCCGCUCCUAUAGCCUGAGCCACGGGGCC